GAGCGAGAAAAGGGGGGCAACUCCCUGAGUACAGCGGCGCACGGGUGAGUAACACGUGGGUAAUCUGCCCUGGAGUGGGGAACAACACCGGGAAACCGGUGCUAAUACCGCAUACGAUCACGAGGUCUGCGGAUCUUGGGAUGAAAGGAGCAAUUCGCUCUAGGAGGAGCCCGCGGCUGAUUAGCUAGUUGGUGAGGUAAUGGCUCACCAAGGCUACGAUCAGUAUCCGGUCUGAGAGGACGGUCGGACACACUGGAACUGAGACACGGUCCAGACUCCUACGGGAGGCAGCAGUGGGGAAUUUUUCGCAAUGGGGGCAACCCUGACGAAGCAACGCCGCGUGGAGGAUGAAAUAUCUUGGUAUGUAAACUCCUUUCGAUAGGGAAGAUAAUGACGGUACCUAUAGAAGAAGCCCCGGCUAACUUCGUG
rnacentral:rRNA from 1 species